CAAAGAAAGAAGAACCACAACGCAGGGAACAAUUAACUUUAAGAAGCACAAAAAUUUAGUCUCAACUCAUCAGGAAAUGGAAAAAAAAGGAAAUCUCUGAAUGAAACAUUUCCUAUUAACUAUGAUUAACUUAUGAUUAUCCUUUCCUAGCGUGGUAAUUGCUCAUGCAUUGAGGUUUUUAAAGUGAAUUUUGACAAACCACAGUAUAAUUCCAGGCUGAAAAGUCCCCCACCAGAAAUAUUUGUGAUGUUUUAGUGACUAUGCGAUGGAAAACAGCAGAUCCACCAUCUCUCCCUUACACAAAAUGCUUACUGAGAAGCUGCAAUGCCCUAUUAUUUACAUCACUUACUGUAAAUAUGCAGAACUCUCUUCAAUGGAAGCAAAUAAUGAUGUUGACUAAAAGUUGCUUAAGACUGUCAGAAGAUUUUUUUCUUUGGCUGCAUUUCACUACUAAUUUUUUUUUUUAUUCCUACGGAAAGUGAAGCGUGCCAAAUUACAAUAAAUAAAUUUUUAUUUUAUACAAUUUUAUAUAAUAAUUGAAAUAAUUAUUUAUUAAAUAACUACACAUCAUGAAACUGACAAAUUCACCUGUCAAGCUCAGUGGGCGGGUUUAGGGCAGCUUCAAGACGGACCCUGACAUCUGAUUGGCUGGCUCAAACAGCAAGUCAAGACAAUGUCUUCCAAGUUUGCUAAGACUCUGAGGUCAAUAUUUUUACUGGAAAGCACAGAAAUAACAUCAAUAUAAUUCAUUUGUU